rnacentral:rRNA from 1 species
UACAGAGGUCCCGAGCGUUGUUCGGAUUCAUUGGGCGUAAAGGGUGCGUAGGUGGCGCCGUAAGUGGGGUGUGAAAUCCCGGGGCUUAACCCCGGGACUGCAUUCCAUACUGCGGUGCUUGAGGACUGGAGAGGAGACUGGAAUUCAUGGUGUAGCAGUGAAAUGCGUAGAGAUCAUGAGGAAGACCAGUGGCGAAGGCGGGUCUCUGGACAGUUCCUGACACUGAGACACGAAGGCCAGGGGAGCAAACGGG